GACACUCUGCAGCCUGCAGGACACUUGCCAGGAGCUGGGGCAGAGCCCUCCUCCCAAAAGAACCAACGUCUACGCCCGCCCACUCAGGUGGCUCGGAACGAUCUGCAUUCCAUUUAACCCAGUGAACCCAUGCAAAAUGCUAAGUUGCAUUUCCAGUACCAUCUGGAGAUUUCCCUUCCGCCUCACCCGGCCUCUCACCCACACGUGCAUUUCUUGGGUCAUCUGUUUACAUGGGGCGAAAAGAAGAAAGGACGCUACCAACAGCAAACAAAUUGUCUGCUUGAUCCACAUAAACUGUGUAGAACUCAGAGUACCUGGAGAACUCUUGUAAGCCUCCAAGUUCCUUCAGGACAUGGCUACUAUAUUCAUUUGUGUCUGUGCCAAAAGGGAAAAAAAAAAACAAAAACAAAGAACAACCCUCAAGACGAACACAGGAGGAAAUUUGUGCAGCCACUGCUCAGCACCAUGUGCAGGACUCAGGCUGAGAGGAGCCAUCUGAGCCACCACCACAGACAGAGGAGUAAG